CAGGCGCGAAAACUUUACAAUGCGGGAAACCGUGAUAAGGGGACACCGAGUGCCAGCAUCAUAUGCUGGCUGUCCGGAUGUGUAAAAUACAUCCGUUAGCAAGGGCCGGGCAAGACCGGUGCCAGCCGCCGCGGUAACACCGGCGGCCCGAGUGGUGAUCGUGAUUAUUGGGUCUAAAGGGUCCGUAGCCGGUCUGGUCAGUCCUCCGGGAAAUCUGAUAGCUCAACUAUUAGGCUUUCGGGGGAUACUGCCAGACUUGGAACCGGGAGAGGUAAGAGGUACUACAGGGGUAGGAGUGAAAUCUUGUAAUCCCUGUGGGACCACCUGUGGCGAAGGCGUCUUACCAGAACGGGUUCGACGGUGAGGGACGAAAGCUGGGGGCACGAACCGGAUUAGAUACCCGGGUAGUCCCAGCAGUAAACGAUGCUCGCUAGGUGUCAGGCAUGGCGCGACCGUGUCUGGUGCCGCAGGGAAGCCGUGAAGCGAGCCACCUGGGAAGUACGGCCGCAAGGCUGAAACU
rnacentral:rRNA from 1 species